AGGACGAACGCUGGCGGCGUGCUUAACACAUGCAAGUCGAGCGAGGCUCUCUCCUUCGGGAGGGAUGCCCUAGCGGCGAACGGGUGAGUAACACGUGGGCAACCUGCCCCUAGCACUGGGAUAACUCCGGGAAACCGGGGCUAAUACCGGAUACGACCUCUGAGGGCAUCCUCCGGAGGUGGAAAGCAUUGUGGCUAGGGAUGGGCCCGCGGCCUAUCAGCUUGUUGGUGAGGUAACGGCCCACCAAGGCGACGACGGGUAGCCGGCCUGAGAGGGCGACCGGCCACACUGGGACUGAGACACGGCCCAGACUCCUACGGGAGGCAGCAGUGGGGGAAUAUUGCACAAUGGGCGAAAGCCUGAUGCAGCGACGCCGCGUGAGGGAUGACUGCCUUCGGGUUGUAAACCUCUUUCAGCAGGGACGAAGCGAAAGUGACGGUACUGCAGAAGAGCACCGGCCAACUACGUGCCAGCAGCCGCGGU
rnacentral:rRNA from 1 species